GACGAACGCUGGCGGCGUGCUUAACACAUGCAAGUCGAACGGAAAGGCCCUGCUUUUGUGGGGUGCUCGAGUGGCGAACGGGUGAGUAACACGUGAGUAACCUGCCCUUGACUUUGGGAUAACUUCAGGAAACUGGGGCUAAUACCGGAUAGGAGCUCCUGCUGCAUGGUGGGGGUUGGAAAGUUUCGGCGGUUGGGGAUGGACUCGCGGCUUAUCAGCUUGUUGGUGGGGUAGUGGCUUACCAAGGCUUUGACGGGUAGCCGGCCUGAGAGGGUGACCGGCCACAUGGGGACUGAGAGACGGCCCAGUAUCCUACGGGAGGCAGAAGUGGGGAAUAUUGCACAAUGGGCGGAAGCCUGAUGCAGCAACGCCGCGUGCGGGAUGACGGCCUUCGGGUUGUAAACCGCUUUCGCCUGUGACGAAGCGUGAGUGACGGUAAUGGGUAAAGAAGCACCGGCUAACUACGUG
rnacentral:rRNA from 1 species